rnacentral:misc_RNA from 1 species
AAGUCGUAACAAGGUUUCCGUAGGUGAACCUGCGGAAGGAUCAUUAACACGUAUCCAAACGUUAAACAACCCCGUGAACAUACAACCUGCUCUGGUCGCCCGCUCGCAUGGACAAGCCCAGUAAAUCAAGCCCCGGAAAGUUUUUGAUUUGGGACCUCUGUGCGCGUGAGAAAAACUGACAGCGAUUCAUAGAAGCGGUAGGUCAAGUGACACGGCGUCCCCAAGUGACCAGUGAAUGAAAGUGUCGCUGGAGCGUCAAGGACGACUCUUCAAGAUUGCUAGAGGUCGACCACCGUGUAUACUGAGCUAACACCGCUCCCUCCCACUUUAUUGCCUUGCCUGUAAGCAUCCAUACGGAUGGGCAGGCCCCCCGAACAACUGUUAACAAUGGAUAUCUUGGUUCUC